ensembl:lncRNA
GCGCGGAGCCACUCUGGCCGCGCGCCUGGGGGCUGCUAGGAAUCCCGUAACUUUGCCCGGCUAGGAAAAAAUGAAAAAGUCCAAGCCUGGAAGCGCGCAGACUCGGCCGCUGGCGCCCGCGGCUGCUCGACCGGGAGUGAAGGGGCUGGGUGGAGGGCAGGACCGCCUCCCUCAGCAGCGCCUCCGUGUCCCCAGCGCUGGGCGCCUGGUUCUCCUGGGGCUUUGGGAGCGCACGGGCCACUCGCCAGCCACGUCCUGGCCCAACCCGCCGCGCCUCUUUUCAUCACCUCCACCCCCACCCCACCCCCCCACCCCCCGCCCCGCUACCCCCGGCCGCCGGCUGUCCUCCUCCCCAACCGCUCGGCUGGGACAACUCGGAGCUCCCACAGAUGGAUGGAUCCAGCCGCCGGGAAGGGCCGCGUCCGGAUGCUGAAAAGCUCGCCCCCUCCCCCUUCCGGGGCAGGUGUCUGCUUUUCUCUGGAUUUGAUUUCUCAUUUCUCAAGGGACAAGGCCCUUUGCAGCCGGUGGGGGUGAAACACUCGAGGGAAGAAAAAGGUUUCCAAUCUCCGAGGGAACCAAGGCGGCCAGACUCGGACGGGACUUCACUGACGAUGACUGCUCGGAGAUUCAGCCCAUGCUGACGUCCCAGGUCUCCACUCCACCCCUUCCCCCCACCUUCGCUUCAUUUCGCUGGCAGGCAACGGAGCCGAAACAUUCCCAACAGGAGUCCACGCGUCUCCCUGCAUUUCUCCACCCUCAUAAAAGCACGUUGAAAGUGUCUCGGGGAGACACCUCCAGGUUUUGAUUCAACUCAUUCCCUUUCACUGUUCAAAGCACUGUUCGAAUACAGAGGCUGCUUACGUUGACGUGGAGAGGAUUUCAAACAAACCUAAAAUGCUUUGAACUGACAAGGUGUCUUGAUAUCUCCCUCACUCCAGUACAGUUCCCCGAGAUCACUGGCUAGGACAAUGGCUGAGCAAGCGGUUCACGCCGGCCUCGCAGCCUCCUUGGCUGACUGCUGGGUCCCCCGGGCCCCUUUCACGAGAACAAGCUCCAGGCGUCCUGAGCAACCUCACCAGCCCAUCCCCUUCCUCUAGGUCUCAGCAAGGGCUCAGCUGAGUCGGUAUCCUGACCUGGACUGGUCUGAGGAAUUGGUGCGGACUUCCUACUGCACUGCUUGGAGAGAAAAUAACUCAGAAUCCGAGCUAAACCAAAAGGAUAUUUAUCCCCACAUUGUCACACUUCUCAAAAGCGUGAGCCAGACCUGGGUCUUAGUAGUGCCCAGCACCUUGACCAGAAUCUCCCAAAGUCUUCACAUGAGUAACACUAAUGAUAUCAACCUGUACACUCUAAUUUGAACUAGAUUUUAACUUCAUCUAGUAAACACACCAUGUGUAAAAUAUCAUUUAUUGUAUUGCUCCAUACCAAGUCUUGGCAGAAAAACCGCCAUAAUCACUCCUAAACAUUGAGCUGAAAGGAUGCACUUAUUAAGAUAGAGGUGAGAUGGUAUUUAUUCAUUUGAUAGAUCUUAAUUUAUUUCUUAUUGAUGUUUUAAUAGUUUUAUGAUAAUGGAAAUCAGGAAACAAAGGGAAUUUUCUUCCAAGGUGGCAGCUGGUUUAAACUUGGGUAAAAUUACCUACUGGGAUUUUCUUUUUAAUAUAUCCACCUUGGAGGAGGAUUCCAAGUCCCUUCUCUUAUUCUCCUUUCUCCCUUAUUCCAGUCAUUGUAUUCCUGUACUUUCUGCUCUUCUGCUAGUAUCCAGGAGUUGUUUGAGAGCUUCCCCACAUUUAAAUGGAACUUCUUUGCUAAGGGCCUACAGAAUGUCAAAACUGAGGUUUCCACUUUAGAGCUUCAGCUUUAAACAACCAAUCCACACAAAGAGGCAGCUGGCUCCUUUAAUGAAAACCUCCUUAGAGCUUGAAGACUUACAGGCUUAGAGAUGCAUUUGUAAGAAGCAAGGAAAAUGCAUUUCCAAGCUGCCAGUUCUUGUGAGACACAAUAAACAUUUACUUUUAAAAAGAACAGAAAUUAAUAUCUUUAAUUAUGCAGCACAAUGUCUUCCCAAUUAAAAAAUUUCCACAUAGAUUUAUAUGUUAUUGUCUAUAUAUACAUUUUACAAGUUUCUAAAUGUGCGUCCGUCUCCAUGUCAUAAACGGUUUUGAAGAAGGAAAAGUUUUCUGAAAGUUGAAACGCCCAUUCUUCAUAUUCUUGCCAAAUCUGUGUUUGUCCAUGUCUCACAUACGGAUGAUUCUAUUUUACCUUUACUACUGUGUAAACCAGUAAGAUGUAAUGUUCUAAGUUCAGUAUUGUAAAAUGAAAUUAUUUGAAUUUGUGGAUAUUCUGUUUCUCCUUUUCUCAUGUUCUCAAUCUCAUCAUUAAAAG